AAAAGUUGGUUGCCGGUGUACUGUCUAGUGCUACGAACUCGGAAGAAAAUGUAGGAACAGUGUCAUUGAUAAUUGUUUGUUUAGGGUAUAUCGGCUGCGAUCUCUUGCAUUACUAACCGGUAAUAUUCAACAGUAUUGCGCUUCAUCUGAUUUUUCAUAUUCGUUGUACAAUUGUCUAUAAAAAGAGGAGACAUAAAAUUCAAUGAUUCAGCUCCACUAACGGCGAAACAUACAUACUUAUUACCUGCUAAUUUAUAAGUAAACUGAUGCGGCUGCAUUGUACGUUGUUUUGCCGCACAACGAACCGGCAGUAUGGGGAAAUAAUGAAGUCAGAAUGAAGCACCCAGUACAAAACAAACAAAUGGUAUUCCAUGGACCACUGCACUAAUUGCACUAAUGUCAAAUGUAACGUGUUUCAUAUAUAAUGAACUAUAUAUAUAUGGUUGCACUUGAGUGGAGUGUGUAGCUAAAUUCUUACUGAUGAGUCAUCAUCAAUAUACUUGACAAUACAAAUAAAAUAUCAACAGCUAUGGCACCAAUUAGUGGUGGUGACUCUGAGGUGUGCAACACUGGAGCCUUGGACAACUUUUCUGACCCAGUUUAGAGGCAGUGUAAGGAAACAAAUGAACCCAAUGCAACUCAAUUGCAAAACCUUCCAGUCUCAUAAGAGAAUGCACUGUACAAAAAAGUAAAGGAUCAACCAAUAUAGGAAAAUAUGGUUGAGUCUUUUUAAACAAGAAAUAAAUUGAAACACACAACCUUAACAUGAAAUUAUAAAGAAAGACACCCAAAUUUGGAAGUGUUGGUGGUACACCAGUUGCUGUUUUACACCCUCUUGGCAGCUUAAUGUCUACUUGACAGUAUUAGUAAAUAUUGUACAUAAAUGGUUUAUGUGUGUGCUAUAAGACUGUUUACAGUGGCCAGUAGGUCUACAUUACUAUUUGCCAUGCAGCUAACAGGUAUGCUUUGAUGACAUUCAGCAGGAGCUGACAAGGCACAUAAUGAUACAAAGUACACAAUAGAUUAUGUUUUACUGUCAGCUGAGUGAUGGGCACACGUCUGUCUUAUGUGGCAUCUUGUAUUCAUUGGCUUUUUUAGCUCAUGUCAAAGAAUUUGCUGACAAUUACGUUAUAUUGUCCUUACUCAUCUUGAGGCUGAAACUUUUGUGUCCAUGCUUGGUUACUGAUAAAUGUUUUUGGAUGGUAUCCACCUGGGUUAAAGAAGAAAAAGUUGUGUUUUGCUCAAAGCAAGUCCUAUCCAAAACCAAAUUUAUCUCUGCCUGAUUGAAAAAUAGAAACCUUCAGAAAACAUGGUUAGAUGCCAAAGUAACUUUGUUCAUGUACACACCAUUGGCAUGUAUGUAAAUAAUUAGAGUUGCAGUUCUCUGUGACAGGUGGAUAACAUUAGUGUUCACGUUUAAUGCCUGGGGGGAUAUGUAUGGAGCAUGAGCAGCAUUAGAUGCUGAAUGAUCAUUUCGAAGUGCGCAGAGAUGCCCUGUACUCAUAGGAGACUGCGUUAUCAGCACCAACAGAGUUUGAAAGGGGCCUCAUUGUUGGUUUCCAUUUGGUGAGCUGAUUGAAUCAUGCGAUAUCCCGAUUUGUGGGGAAUUUAAAUGUGGCAGCAGCCCAAUAUUGGUUGAGAUGAGGGCAGCCGCACUCAUUGCCAAGGCUCCAGUGGACUCCCAGUAACAUUCUAUGUCAUCUUGCACCACUGAUCAGAGACUAGCAGCAUUCAAGACUAGAGAAUUACUGCCCCUUGCAUAGGCUAACAUUAACACAAAGAGCUGUGUUUGGAGUGGUGCUGUUACAGGGAAGUAUGGACUGCUGAUGGUGUCACAUUUUGUGCAGCAAUGAACCAUGGUUCUGCACUACCCAGUAUGAUCACUGUCAAGUAAGGUGACAACCUGAAGAGAGGUCUGUUCUUCCAGUAUUUUGGUUGUGUGCGUAUAUGGGAAGGGGCAGGCACUAGUGCAUGUGUGCAAGCUGUCUGACAAUAAAGAAAGUGAGAUCAUGACAGUAUGAACCAACU